AGUCGAAUAUUUCAAAAAACUUAGGGCUGUUCUUCAAGCUGGUUUUUGUGGAUCCGAAGUUGUUUACACAUUAUCAUUUACCUUUCUUUUUUGGAGGAAAUAAGAAUUUCUUUAUUGGAACUUACAUGUAGAAUUAUGAACCCUUUUGGUGUCAACGUAUAUUAUAGGUGUUAAACUCAAAACUGAAAAGAAAUAUUGCUUCCCCUUUUAAAGAUGCAUUUAAAUUUUUCCUUAUGGCAGUAUCCUAUCAUGAAUUUAUUAUUAAGUGAAUGAAAUUGCAUGGAACAUUUUGUGUGUAUUUAUAUAUAUAUAUUAUAUAUCUUUUCUUCGAUCAUGUCACAAAGUCUUCUAAGAGAGAAAGUUUAAAAAAAUUACCCAUGAUUCAUUAGAGGAAAAGAUUUUUUGUCUUUGUAUUAAGAGUGGUCAUUUUUUGUACAUAAAACCUAAAUCAUGAUUCACUUCCUCUAACAUUUGUAUCAAUGUCUGCAGCAACUAGCACACCAUAUCCAUAUACAUGUAUAUCUAAUCAAUUAAACAGUUUGUUUUCAAUCUGAAAAAGGAGUUGAUACGUGUAUCAGUAUUUGAGAUGCACUGUUUCUUUCACAUUUUUUUAAAGAAGAACUUUAAUAAGUAAUUCAAUUUAAUUAUGUAUUAACACCAUCUACUACAUGUGUAAAUCCUUACCCUCUACAUGUUUGGAAAUAUUCAUUUUAUAUAAUGUAAACAAAAAAAUGAUUUGUAAUGUUGGCUGUGAUAAGGGAACUAGUAUAAACUGGUGGGCCCAGAGUAAUAUUGUGUUGUAAGUAGUAGAGUCUAGCUAUUGUAUUGUGUUAGUGACUUGUAUAACCAAUACUUGAUCAUACUUUGGUCUGUGGGGCGAUAUUUUGUUAUGCCCAGGCGAGAUAUGUUUUAGGAUACUAAUGUCUGUGGGGCGAUAUUUGUUAAGCCCAGGCGAUAUAUGUUUAGGCCUUAAAACACAGACCAUUUUGAUUUUGAUUUUCUUCACCCAGUAAUAGUGCUUUUGUUACACUAAUGCAUUUGAAAGUAAAGAUUUGC
rnacentral:misc_RNA from 1 species